CGAAGGAUCCUAGCGUUGUCCGGAUUUACUGGGUUUAAAGGGAGCGUAGGCGGACUUUUAAGUCAGUGGUGAAAGCUUGCAGCUUAACUGUAAAAUUGCCAUUGAAACUGAUUGUCUCGAGUGCGGUUGAGGUCACUGGAAUGUAUCAUGUAGCGGUGAAAUGCUUAGAUAUGAUACAGAACACCAAUUGCGAAGGCAGGUGACUAAGCCGUAACUGACGCUGAGGCUCGAAAGCGUGGGGAUCAAACAGGAUUAGAUACCCUGGUAGUCCACGCCCUAAACGUUGAAUACUCGACCUUAGCGAUAUACUGUUAGGGUCCAAGCGAAAGCGUUAAGUAUUCCACCUGGGAAGUACGAUCGCAAGAUUG
rnacentral:rRNA from 1 species